AUACGUAGGUGGCAAGCGUUGUCCGGAUUUACUGGGUGUAAAGGGCGUGUAGGCGGAGAUGCAAGUCAGGAGUGAAAUCUAGGGGCUCAACCCCUAAACUGCUUUUGAAACUGUAUCCCUUGAGUAUCGGAGAGGCAGGCGGAAUUUCUAGUGUAGCGGUGAAAUGCUUAGAUAUCACUCAGAACACCGAUUGCGAAGGCAUCUGACGAACUGCCCACUGACGCUGAGGCACGAAAGCGUGGGGAUCAAACAGGAUUAGAUACCCUGGUAGUCCACGCAGUAAACGAUGAUGACUAACUGCCGGCCCGUUGCGGGUCGGUGGCCAAGCGAAAGCGAUAAGUCAUCCACCUGGGGAGUACGACCGCAAGGUUGAAACUCAAAUGAAUUGACGGGG
rnacentral:rRNA from 1 species